rnacentral:lncRNA from 1 species
CAUAAUAAACACCAUAUAUGCUGAAAUAUAAAUAAAGAAAUUGAAAACAAUUAUGACUCAGGCCACAUCAAAGUGAAUCCUGUGUCUCAAAUGAAAUCUCUUGGAAAAGGAGGUGCUCAAGAAAUGGUCCACAAUGGUGACAGUACUAGGGUGGCAUGAGGUGGUAGCCCAGAACUUCAGGGACCUACUGAGAUUUGGCCCUAAUAUAUUUAGGUCUUGGUUUCUGGAAUAUGAAGUAUCUGCCUAAGAAUGAAGACUAAGGGAUCCCUGGGUGGCGCAGCGGUUUGGCGCCUGCCUUUGGCCCAGGGCACGAUCCUGGAGACCCGGGAUCGAAUCCCACGUCGGGCUCCCGGUGCAUGGAGCCUGCUUCUCCCUCUGCCUGUGUCUCUGCCUCUCUCUCUCUGUGUGUGUGACUAUCAUAAAUCAUUAAAAAAAAGAAUGAAGACUAAGAGUCAAUACAUCAGAGGGGAGAAGCAACUGGGAAAAUUUUCAAGGUAAUGGAAUAAAAUGGUUAUUUGUCUCACACAGUACAAUCACCUUGGACGUGUCAAAUUUUAAGGAGGUAAAAAAAGAAACAUCUGGUUUAUCCAAAUACUGUUUAGCCCCAGUUUAUCUGAGUUUUUCUAUCUCAAGAACAAUGUCCAAUUCCUGUUUGUAUCCCCUUGUUCAGCAAUGUUGGGGAGGGUUCUGCCCCACUUAUUCACUAGAGGACCCGGGUGAUGGGACUUUACUAUUGUCAACACAUGGCUUCCAAAGCCUCUCUGAUCUUACCAGCAAAUGAGUAGGAGACAGAGGUUCAUAUGAAGGUAUCAUAAAGUAGAAUUCAUAAAAUUUUAAUGAUUCAGCUUGCUGAGUUUUCGUUAAUUGUAUACCGUUGCAUAACCACUGCGACAAUCAAAAUAUAGACAUUUCCAACAUCCUAGAAAGUUCCUGGUGCCCCUUUAUAUCUGGUUCCUGCACUUGACCCUUAGCCCCAGGCAAUUUUCUGUCAAUAAAGAUAAAUUUUGCCUGUUCUUCAAUUCCACAUAAGUGGAAUACAAUCUAUAGUAUUUGGUGGCAUGCUUCUUUUGCUCAGCAUAAUUCAUGUUGAUGACUGUACUGGCAGUUCACUUCUUUCUAUUUCUGAGCAGUGUCUCAUUGUAUGGAUAUCCCAUGAUUUCCUAAUCCAUUCUUCAGUCGAUGGACAUUUGAAUGAGUUCCACGUUUUACUUAUUACAAAGAUUGCUGCUAUGGUUUGCAUAUGUUUUUAUGUGUACAUAUAUGUUCAUUUCUCUUGUGUAAAAUACCUCAGAGUGGGACCAUUGGGUCAUAUAGCAAGUGGAUGUUUGUAAGACUUUGCUGUAGUGUUUACUAAAAUGGUGGUGCCAUCUUGAAUUCUUACCACUAAUGUUUGAGACUUCAAGUUGCUCCACGUCCUUACCAAUACUUGGAACUUUUAGUGUUUUUAAUUUUAGCCAUUCUAGUGGGCAUGUAGUAGAAUCUUGGUUUUCAUUUCAUGGCCCUAACAACUAGUGGUUGAGCAUCUUUUCACAUGCUUUUUGACUAUUUGUAUGUUUUGUUUUGUGACUUAUCAGUUCAAAUCUUUUGUCCAUUUAAAAAAUCAGGUUGUCUCCUUGCUACUGAGUUGUAGGAGUUCCUUAUAUAUUCUGGGUACAAGCAUAGAGUGUACUCCUCAUCAUCCAGUAUUUUCCAAUAUCUUUAGAUAGCUGCUAAAUAUUCAGACUUGUUAGUUGUUUAGGAGGAAGGGGGAGGGGGAGGCCCUGUAGCAGCUUCUUCUCUCAUUACAAGAAGUAGACACUAUGAAGGAGAUUUGAAGGACCAGGACUGGAAUGGGAUCUCAUUGAUGAUGUUUGCAUUCUGUUGCUGGAAUUCAGUCACAUGAUAACACCUAACUCCAACACGCCUGAAAAAUGUGUUCUUUCUGUGUACUUAUAAGAUGGUGGGUCCUAGAGAAGAACAGGUUGGAUGAUCCACAAGCAGGACCUGCUGCAGGGGAUUGAGCAGGAACAUAUUGCAGCAGGAGUCCUAGCCCAGAAGCAUGAUAAGUUUAUUUCUACAUCCUUUCCAC